AGAAAUCUAUAUAAUAUUCCGCAAAAAAACUUUACAACCAUCUCCCUCUACGUCUUAAAUCUGCAUCAUCUUUCCCUAAAUUCCGUAAACUGACAAAAGCCUACCUAUGGGAGAGAUUAAAUGUCCAGCAAACGACGGCAAUGUUGCCAGAUUCCUUUUAGCGGGAAUUUUAAAAUUUUAUAGCAGUUUGGUUUUAAAUUUGACAGUUCUGUUUUCUCAAGUCAAAAAUCUUAACCUUACUUUUACAAGUGAUUUGGAUUAUUAUUAUUAUUUUAUUUACUGUAAAUUGAAACAAUGAAUAUUGUGCUGUGUCAUAAUUUCAAACUCAUUAUGUUGCAGUCUUUUCCAGUUGAUAAAAUUGCAAUUCAAAAACUUUUAGAUUUGCACUGUAUGGAUGGCACAGGAAGAGUACAAGAACUUGAAACAUCUUAUUAUGAAUGUAUAUGUAUGUGAUCCUCAAAAAAUUAUUUUACAAAACAA
rnacentral:lncRNA from 1 species